rnacentral:rRNA from 1 species
UGGCCUUGACAUGCUUAGUUCAGGCGUGGAAACACGCUGGCCCGCAAGGGCGAUUUGCACAGGUGCUGCAUGGCUGUCGUCAGCUCGUGUCGUGAGAUGUUGGGUUAAGUCCCGCAACGAGCGCAACCCUCGUGGUUAGUUAAUCCCGGGCAACCGGAUUCUGACCAGACUGCCCUGUGAAACGGGGAGGAAGGUGGGGACGACGUCAAGUCCGUAUGGCCCUUACGGCCAGGGCUGCACACGUACUACAAUGCCCAAUACAGAGGGACGCAAGACCGCAAGGUGGAGCUAAUCCCGGAAAGUUGGGCCCAGUUCGGAUUGGAGGCUGCAACUCGCCUCCAUGAAGUUGGAAUCGCUAGUAAUGGCGCAUCAGUACGGCGCCGGAA